rnacentral:rRNA from 1 species
CACGUAGGGCGCAAACGUUGCUCGGAAUCAUUGGGCGUAAAGCGCACGUAGGCGGUUCGUUAUGUCGGAUGUGAAAGCCCUUGGCUUAACCGAGGAAGUGCAUCCGAAACUGGCGAGCUAGAGUACGAAAGAGGAUCGCGGAAUUCCCGGUGUAGAGGUGAAAUUCGUAGAUAUCGGGAGGAACACCGGUGGCGAAGGCGGCGAUCUGGGUCGAUACUGACGCUGAGGUGCGAAAGCGUGGGGAGCAAACAGG